UGCCUGAUGUAUGAAAAGGAGAUUGCUUGGAGGCAUCUCCUUUGAUGCUGUUGCCUUUGGAAUACAGCAGCUGCUUGACAAUGAAGAUUCAAAGCCUAAAAGAUACAGCCAGAUGUCAAAUUUAAAAAUAAAAGCUGCACUUGCGACAUGGCUGCUGGGUUGGCUGAUGCUAUGGUUUCCUAAUGGGGAAUAAGGAAUCAGUCCAGCUUAUCACGUGACAUGCCUACUAAUCAUCCACCAGCAACAGGUAAGCUGGCCGGAUUUCACCUUGAGCACCUCUGCAAGAUCAAGGAUCUCACGCCAAGAUGUUAUUGGAGGCUGCUUGCUUUCCCCUGCAGUCUGUUCCUGAAGCAUCACGUCCAACUCAUCUGACCUUUGAAGGUCAAGAUCUUCCAGAAACAAUCUUCAGUUAAAAAAAAAGCAGCUGUGACAAUCGGAGGAAAUCAACCUUUACCAUGAGGUACUCUUGGCGAAAUCUGCAUUUGCAAACCCAGUCUGCAACUUGUUUAAGGUCACCCAAUGAGUUACCAUGAAAAAAAAAUGACAUUGUUGCUGUUCAAACAGAUAUGUCACAGAACGCCACCCCAAGGUGGUGUGAUGGAGUAAGAAGGAAACAAGUGUGAAAAUCUGCUCAGUGCGUGUGACCAUGAAGGCUGCAAGUUAAGACUUUUGACUUUAUCGCACAAGGCUGCUAAAACGCAAUUACGGCAAAAUAAAAACACAAUUACUGCAA